rnacentral:rRNA from 1 species
GCGGUUAUACAAGUUGGGCAGGUAAAAUUUCUUGGUUAGUAGUUAAUUUUAUUUUGGUGAAAUUAAUAAAUUAAUUUAUAGGUGAAAUUUUAAAUUUUUAUUAUAUUUUUUUUAUGUAAGUGAAACUAUGAAAUUUUUAAUUUUUAAACUAGGAUUAGAUACCCUAUUAUAAUGAAUGUUAAUAUGAACCUAGGUAGUAUUAGAUAUGAUCUUGAAACCUAAAAAAUUUGGCGGUGCUUUAGUCUAUUUAGAGGAAUCUGUUCCAUAAUCGAUAACCCACGAUAAAUUUUACUUAAUUUUGUUUAACUUAUAUACCGUUGUUAUCAGAAUAUUUUAUAAGGAUUUAAUAUUCUAGAUUUUUUAUAAAAAUGUAUUUCAGAUCAAGGUGUAGUUUAUAAUUAAGAGGAAAUGGAUUACAAUAAAUUUAUUUAAACGGAGUUGAGGUUGUAAUUAUUUUAUAAAAGGUGGAUUUAAUAGUAAAUUAAAAUAUAUUUUUUAUUUGAUUCAAGCUCUAAAGCAUGCACACAUCGCCCGUCGCUCUUUUUAAUUAAAGAUAAGUCGUAACAUAGUAGAUGUACUGGAAAGUGUAUCUAGAAUG